rnacentral:rRNA from 1 species
UACGUAGGGGGCAAGCGUUAUCCGGAUUUACUGGGUGUAAAGGGAGCGUAGACGGUGAUGUAAGUCAGAUGUGAAAGCCCAGGGCUCAACCCUGGGACUGCAUUUGAAACUAUGUUGCUAGAGUGCAGGAGAGGUAAGUGGAAUUCCUAGUGUAGCGGUGAAAUGCGUAGAUAUUAGGAGGAACACCAGUGGCGAAGGCGACUUACUGGACUGUAACUGACGUUGAGGCUCGAAAGCGUGGGGAGCAAACAGG